UUGAGAUCAAUGAGUGAAACAAAUUGUUUGAAAUAGCAACAAAUACUGAUGUGAAUUACAGUAAGUACACCGAAAACACCUCCAUAUAUAGUGAUUUGGCUUAGAUAGAUGGUGCAUACCUCAAUUACCACAUGUUUAACAAGAAAAACAUGUAUCAUCAUAAUAAGGACGUCAAAACAUGGUGAAAGCGUUCUAUUCUCUCAUGGCCAUGAUAUGAUAACCUGCCAGCCGAAAUGUUUCUUCUCUUCCUUCCAAGACGGUAAAAGAAAUCCUCGGUGUCCAGUACAUAAGAGAUCUUUGAUGAAUUUGAAGCCAUCUUACACUCCAAACCGUUCACGAGUAUAAUAUUUUCCAUCACCAUGCACAAGGCAGAAGAUACAUCAUGGUUGGUGUGCUUUCUCUUGUUUCUCUUCAGCAUAACUGCAGAAGACUCUUUCUUCCCAUGUUCAACAGAAAGAUAAUCAUUAUGCAGAUAACCAGAAAAAUUGGGGUCUACAUAAACUGCAACAGCUUCAGACUUCUCACUUCCAUCAUCCAUCAACUGGAUGGACAGAUGAGUUGGGGAAGAUGUACAAACAAACCGGUAAAUGUUCUCCUCAUGGAGGAGGACAUGAGCAUCUUCGUAAUAAACUGAAUCAACAUACUUCUCAGAUUUUCGUGAUCUUUCAUAUUCAUAUAACUGAAGCAGCUUACCAUCCAGUUCGUCACUUGAAACAGUUUGAAGCUGCUUGACCAGUUUAUAUAUCAAUUUGUCCAAAGUAAAUAGCACAUAUGACUGGUUCCCAAUGAUCGAUCUGCAAUCAUCCUCAAACUUUGCAUUAUCUGCCGAUCCAUCUAGCAAACUAUACAAAGCAUGU
rnacentral:misc_RNA from 1 species